rnacentral:lncRNA from 1 species
CAUCUUCUUGGUACUACACAUGAAGAUGUCCUGCUCUCCCCUGCUCAAGGAGAGAGUGCCUGACCUGAGCUGGGCCCAUCAGAUCCAGUACUUACCCGGAAUAGGAAAAAGAUGGGGAGGGUGACCAAAGAUUACAAAAAUCUCUGAAGCUUAUCCACUUGAGAGAGAGUCCCUGAAGAUACUGGCCUUUCAUUCCCGCUAUGUAUAUCCAAUGUGACUGAACUCUGAAUAACAUAUACAAGUUAUAAUAAUGUAGUAGUUAGCCCUCAAACUAGGACACAAACAUGUUAGAGGGAUUUGAGUUUGAUGUGAUGCAUGCAAUGUGGUCCCACUGUGUGACUACAGAAAUGUUGGCAAAAGUAAGUUCAGAGGAAAUGGUAGGCAAGUACUUCCCAGUUUUGGCCAGAAGAUGCAGAAAAAAAGAAUUCUCAUAAAAUAAUAAAAGAUUUCCUUUUUAUCACUGGUUUUGGGUGGAUUUGAUUAAGGUGUUCCUUGGUGAAGUUUUCUGCAUGUUUCUUGUUCUUAGGAUAAUCAUAUUUCUGUAAUAUUUGAAGUUGAUGGUUUCCAUGGAGUUUCUAAAUCUUUCAUCCAGUAUGUUUUAAAUAUCUUUGUCUCUCUUCUCCACUACCUGCCCUUCAGGGAUUCCAUUUAGCCCUA